GAGUUUGAUCAUGGCUCAGAUUGAACGCUGGCGGCAUGCCUUACACAUGCAAGUCGAACGGCAGCAUGAUCUAGCUUGCUAGAUUGAUGGCGAGUGGCGAACGGGUGAGUAAUACAUCGGAACGUGCCCUGUAGUGGGGGAUAACUAGUCGAAAGAUUAGCUAAUACCGCAUACGACCUGAGGGUGAAAGUGGGGGACCGCAAGGCCUCAUGCUAUAGGAGCGGCCGAUGUCUGAUUAGCUAGUUGGUGGGGUAAAGGCCCACCAGGGCGACGAUCAGUAGCUGGUCUGAGAGGACGAUCAGCCACACUGGGACUGAGACACGGCCCAGACUCCUACGGGAGGCAGCAGUGGGGAAUUUUGGACAAUGGGCGAAAGCCUGAUCCAGCAAUGCCGCGUGUGUG
rnacentral:rRNA from 1 species